GGAAUAUUGGACAAUGGGGGCAACCCUGAUCCAGCAAUGCCGCGUGUGUGAAGAAGGCCUGCGGGUUGUAAAGCACUUUCAGUGGGAAAGAAGGACUUGGAGCUAAUACCUCCGAGUCUUGACGUUACCCAAAGAAGAAGCACCGGCUAACUCCGUGCCAGCAGCCGCGGUAAUACGGAGGGGGCGAGCGUUAAGCGGAAUUACUGGGCGUAAAGCGCGCGUAGGUGGUUGCGUAAGUCGAUUGUGAAAGCCCCGGGCUUAACCUGGGAAUUGCAGUCGAUACUGCGCAGCUAGAGUGUGGUAGAGGGAAGCGGAAUUCCGGGUGUAGCGGUGAAAUGCGUAGAUAUCCGGAGGAACACCAGUGGCGAAGGCGGCUUCCUGGACCAACACUGACACUGAGGCGCGAAAGCGUGGGGAGCAAAC
rnacentral:rRNA from 1 species